rnacentral:rRNA from 1 species
CUGCAGCCCGAGUGGUGAUCGAUUUUAUUGAGCCUAAAGCGUCCGUAGCCGGACUAGUAAACCCUUGGGUAAAUUGGGCAGCUUAACUGUCCAAAUUCCGAGGGGACUGCUAGUCUUGGGACCGGGAGAGGUCAGAGGUACUCAAGGGGUAGGGGCUAAAUCCUGUAAUCCUUUGGGGACCACCAGUGGCGAAGGCGUCUGGCUAGAACGGAUCCGACGGUAAGGGACGAAACCCUGGGGCGCGAACCGGAUUAGAUACCCGAGUAGUCC